GGGGGAUGGCGGCAGCUUACCAUGCAGUCGAACGGCAGCAUGAUCUAGCUUGCUAGAUUGAUGGCGAGUGGCGAACGGGUGAGUAAUACAUCGGAACGUGCCCUGUAGUGGGGGAUAACUAGUCGAAAGAUUAGCUAAUACCGCAUACGACCUGAGGGUGAAAGUGGGGGACCGCAAGGCCUCAUGCUAUAGGAGCGGCCGAUGUCUGAUUAGCUAGUUGGUGAGGUAAAGGCUCACCAAGGCGACGAUCAGUAGCUGGUCUGAGAGGACGAUCAGCCACACUGGGACUGAGACACGGCCCAGACUCCUACGGGAGGCAGCAGUGGGGAAUUUUGGACAAUGGGGGCAACCCUGAUCCAGCAAUGCCGCGUGUGUGAAGAAGGCCUUCGGGUUGUAAAGCACUUUUGUCCGGAAAGAAAUCGCACUUACUAAUAUUAGGUGUGGAUGACGGUACCGGAAGAAUAAGGACCGGCUAACUACGUGCCAGCAGCCGCGGUAAUACGUAGGGUCCAAGCGUUAAUCGGAAUUACUGGGCGUAAAGCGUGCGCAGGCGGUUGUGCAAGACCGAUGUGAAAUCCCCGGGCUUAACCUGGGAAUUGCAUUGGUGACUGCACGGCUAGAGUGUGUCAGAGGGGGGUAGAAUUCCACGUGUAGCAGUGAAAUGCGUAGAGAUGUGGAGGAAUACCGAUGGCGAAGGCAGCCCCCUGGGGAUAACACUGACGCUCAUGCACGAAAGCGUGGGGAGCAAACAGGAUUAGAUACCCUGGUAGUCCACGCCCUAAACGAUGUCAACUAGUUGUUGGGGAUUCAUUUCCUUAGUAACGUAGCUAACGCGUGAAGUUGACCGCCUGGGGAGUACGGUCGCAAGAUUAAAACUCAAAGGAAUUGACGGGGACCCGCACAAGCGGUGGAUGAUGUGGAUUAAUUCGAUGCAACGCGAAAACCUUACCUACCCUUGACAUGCCACUAACGAAGCAGAGAUGCAUUAGGUGCUCGAAAGAAGAAGUGGACACAGUGCUGCAUGCUGUCGUCAGCUCGUGUCGUGAGAUGUGGGUAGUCCCGCACGAGCGCACCUUGUCUCUAGUGCUACGAAGGGCACUCUAGAGAGACUGGCGUGACAUCGAGAGUGGAUGACGUCAGUCUCAUGACUUAUGGUUAGCUCCAACGUCAUACAUGUGACAUACAGAGGGUUGCCAAG
rnacentral:rRNA from 1 species